rnacentral:tRNA from 1 species
AAAUCCCUAUCUUAGCAGAAUAUUGCAUUAGACUUAGAAUCUAAAACAGCUCCC